CACGCAGGCGGUCGUAUAAGUUUCGAGUGACAGGUGAGGGCUUAACCCUUGCAGGCCUCGGAAAACUGUGCGACUUGAGAACGAGAGAGGGACGCGGAAUUCCAGGUGGAGCGGUGAAAUGCGUAGAGAUCUGGAAGAACACCAAAGGCGAAGGCAGCGUCCUGGCUCGUUUCUGACGCUCAUGUGCGAAAGCUAGGGGGAGCGAACGGGAUUAGAUACCCCGGUAGUCCUAGCUGUAAACGAUGACCACUAGACGUAGGAGGUAUCGACCCCUUCUGUGUCGCAGCUAACGCACUAAGUGGUCCGCCUGGGGAGUACGGUCGCAAGAUUAAA
rnacentral:rRNA from 1 species